rnacentral:rRNA from 1 species
UACGUAGGGCGCAAGCGUUAUCCGGAAUUAUUGGGCGUAAAGAGCUCGUAGGCGGUUUGUCGCGUCUGCCGUGAAAGUCCGGGGCUCAACUCCGGAUCUGCGGUGGGUACGGGCAGACUAGAGUGAUGUAGGGGAGACUGGAAUUCCUGGUGUAGCGGUGAAAUGCGCAGAUAUCAGGAGGAACACCGAUGGCGAAGGCAGGUCUCUGGGCCGAUACUGACGCUGAGGAGCGAAAGCGUGGGGAGCGAACGGG